rnacentral:misc_RNA from 1 species
GAUGAAGAACGUAGCGAAAUGCGAUAAGUAAUGUGAAUUGCAGAACUCAGUGAAUCAUCGAAUCUUUGAACGCACAUUGCGCCCGCCAGUAUUCUGGCGGGCAUGCCUGUCCGAGCGUCAUUUCAACCCUCGAACCCCUCCGGGGGGUCGGCGUUGGGGAUCGGCCCUUUACGGGGCCGGCCCCGAAAUACAGUGGCGGUCUCGCCGCAGCCUCUCCUGCGCAGUAGUUUGCACACUCGCAUCGGGAGCGCGGCGCGUCCACAGCCGUUAAACACCCCAAACUUCUGAAAUGUUGACCUCGGAUCAGGUAGGAAUACCCGCUGAACUUAAGCAUAUCAAUAAGCGGAGGA